CCAGCAUCACCCCAAAGCAAAGCUGUGCUGCAGGGAUGGGGCUGGGAAGGAGCCUGGGCGGUGCCAGGACGCGAUCGUUCCAAAGAACUCAGAAACCACAACAUAACUUCCCCUGUCAUGUACAAAAACAAUCUGCAUGGAAGAGCGGCCAGACAAGGAGUUACGAAGCAUUCCUGUAGGCAUGGGGAAGCAGGCACUAAGGGAUGGUGUGCCAUUAAGGAGGAUGCAAGAAGUCUGCAGCUCUCCCCUUCAUAAAACAUAGCAAAGGGAUCGUGUCAUGGCUAAUCCCUCCCCCACCAGCUAUCAGUUAUUAUUACAAGAAAAUUAAAUCGCCUUGGAAGCAGGAUUGUCUCCAUUUACAAUCAGCAACGUAAUGCUAAACCA